rnacentral:rRNA from 1 species
UCAGUUAUGGUUCCAUUGAUGGUACCACAGUUACUUGGAUAACUGUGGUAAUUCUAGAGCUAAUACAUGCAAACAGAGCCCCGACCAUUCAUUGGAAGGGGUGCUUUUAUUAGAUCAAAACCAACUUGGCUGUAAUGGCCAGUUAGUCUUGGUGACUCUGAAUAACUUUUGGCUGAUCACAUUGGUCUCGUACCGGUGACGCAUCUUUCAAAUGUCUGACUUAUCACACUUUCGAUGGUAGGCUCUGCGCCUACUAUGGUUGUAACGGGUAACGGGGAAUCAGGGUUCGAUUCCGGAGAGGGAGCCUGAGAAACGGCUACCACAUCCAAGGAAGGCAGCAGGCGCGCAAAUUACCCACUCCCAGAACGGGGAGGUAGUGACGAAAAAUAACGAUGCAGAACUCAAUCCGAGGCUCUGCAAUCGGAAUGAG